rnacentral:rRNA from 1 species
GACAGGUGGUGCAUGGUUGUCGUCAGCUCGUGUCGUGAGAUGUUGGGUUAAGUCCCGCAACGAGCGCAACCCUUGAUCUUAGUUGCCAGCAUUUCGGAUGGGCACUCUAAGAUGACUGCCGGUGACAAACCGGAGGAAGGUGGGGAUGACGUCAAAUCAUCAUGCCCCUUAUGACCUGGGCUACACACGUACUACAAUGGUCGGUACAACGGGAAGCGAAGCCGCGAGGUGGAGCCAAUCCUUAUAAGCCGAUCUCAGUUCGGAUUGCAGGCUGCAACUCGCCUGCAUGAAGUCGGAAUUGCUAGUAAUCGCGGAUCAGCA